UGAUCCUGGCUCAGGAUGAACGCUGGCGGCGUGCUUAACACAUGCAAGUCGAACGGAACUCCUAUGAUUGAGGUUUCGGCCAAAAGAAUAGGACGUUUAGUGGCGGACGGGUGAGUAACGCGUGAGUAACCUGCCUUGGAGUGGGGAAUAACACAGUGAAAACUGUGCUAAUACCGCAUAAUGCAUUUGGGUCGCAUGAUUCUGAAUGCCAAAGAUUUAUCGCUCUGAGAUGG
rnacentral:rRNA from 1 species